UUUGUCAUCUGUGGAAAUGGUCGUCUUUAAGAAUAUGCCUGUAGGCCUGUAGAAAAUACAAGUCAAGUUCCACAGCUUGCAUGGAGUGCAUGCCACUGUCGCUACUACUACUUUCACUAUCCGCCGGUGUGAUUAAGAUCAUCCAAUUCUUCAUUCGUCAUUUCUCCAGUAAUUCUUUGAUUUCUCCAUCAGCCAUGUGGGUGCUACUUUGGUAGACGGUUGCACGGAUUUUGGCGAUUUUUUUUGGCAAGCGAUACGACUUAUGGUAAACCCGUUGCUAGACAAGUUGUUUAUGGAGGCGCUGAAAUACGGCCUUGCCCUCGUACUUAAGUGACGGCCCUCCAAGAUGGCCUAAUUUUAUGACAAGAAAUUGCUAUUUCAACAGCACUGAAGAAAUACAGAAAACCGUAACACCAGAUCCUUAAACACUGUUCCCAAAGAUGAAUUCUAGGAAGGAAUCAAGCAGAAAUAGGAAU